rnacentral:rRNA from 1 species
GACGAACGCUGGCGGCGUGCUUAACACAUGCAAGUCGAACGGAAAGGCCCCGCUUUUGUGGGGUGCUCGAGUGGCGAACGGGUGAGUAACACGUGAGUAACCUGCCCUUGACUUUGGGAUAACUUCAGGAAACUGGGGCUAAUACCGGAUAGGAGCUCCUGCUGCAUGUUGGGGGUUGGAAAGUUUCGGCGGUUGGGGGUGGACUCGCGGCUUAUCAGCUUGUUGGUGGGGUAGUGGCUUACCAAGGCUUUGACGGGUAGCCGGCCUGAGAGGGUGACCGGCCACAUUGGGACUGAGAUACGGCCCAGACUCCUACGGGAGGCAGCAGUGGGGAAUAUUGCACAAUGGGCGGAAGCCUGAUGCAGCAACGCCGCGUGCGGGAUGACGGCCUUCGGGUUGUAAACCGCUUUCGCCUGUGACGAAGCGUGAGUGACGGUAAUGGGUAAAGAAGCACCGGCUAACUACGUG